CUGUGAGCUCGAUGAGUAGGGCGGGACACGUGGUAUCCUGUCUGAAUAUGGGGGGACCAUCCUCCAAGGCUAAAUACUCCUGACUGACCGAUAGUGAACCAGUACCGUGAGGGAAAGGCGAAAAGAACCCCGGCGAGGGGAGUGAAAAAGAACCUGAAACCGUGUACGUACAAGCAGUGGGAGCACGCUUCGGCGUGUGACUGCGUACCUUUUGUAUAAUGGGUCAGCGACUUAUAUUCUGUAGCAAGGUUAACCGAAUAGGGGAGCCGAAGGGAAACCGAGUCUUAACUGGGCGUUAAGUUGCAGGGUAUAGACCCGAAACCCGGUGAUCUAGCCAUGGGCAGGUUGAAGGUUGGGUAACACUAACUGGAGGACCGAACCGACUAAUGUUGAAAAAUUAGCGGAUGACUUGUGGCUGGGGGUGAAAGGCCAAUCAAACCGGGAGAUAGCUGGUUCUCCCCGAAAGCUAUUUAGGUAGCGCCUCGUGAAUUCAUCUCCGGGGGUAGAGCACUGUUUCGGCAAGGGGGUCAUCCCGACUUACCAACCCGAUGCAAACUGCGAAUACCGGAGAAUGUUAUCACGGGAGACACACGGCGGGUGCUAACGUCCGUCGUGAAGAGGGAAACAACCCAGACCGCCAGCUAAGGUCCCAAAGUCAUGGUUAAGUGGGAAACGAUGUGGGAAGGCCCAGACAGCCAGGAUGUUGGCUUAGAAGCAGCCAUCAUUUAAAGAAAGCGUAAUAGCUCACUGGUCGAGUCGGCCUGCGCGGAAGAUGUAACGGGGCUAAACCAUGCACCGAAGCUGCGGCAGCGACACUAUGUGUUGUUGGGUAGGGGAGCGUUCUGUAAGCCUGUGAAGGUGUGCUGUGAGGCAUGCUGGAGGUAUCAGAAGUGCGAAUGCUGACAUAAGUAACGAUAAAGCGGGUGAAAAGCCCGCUCGCCGGAAGACCAAGGGUUCCUGUCCAACGUUAAUCGGGGCAGGGUGAGUCGACCCCUAAGGCGAGGCCGAAAGGCGUAGUCGAUGGGAAACAGGUUAAUAUUCCUGUACUUGGUGUUACUGCGAAGGGGGGACGGAGAAGGCUAUGUUGGCCGGGCGACGGUUGUCCCGGUUUAAGCGUGUAGGCUGGUUUUCCAGGCAAAUCCGGAAAAUCAAGGCUGAGGCGUGAUGACGAGGCACUACGGUGCUGAAGCAACAAAUGCCCUGCUUCCAGGAAAAGCCUCUAAGCAUCAGGUAACAUCAAAUCGUACCCCAAACCGACACAGGUGGUCAGGUAGAGAAUACCAAGGCGCUUGAGAGAACUCGGGUGAAGGAACUAGGCAAAAUGGUGCCGUAACUUCGGGAGAAGGCACGCUGAUAUGUAGGUGAAGCGACUUGCUCGUGGAGCUGAAAUCAGUCGAAGAUACCAGCUGGCUGCAACUGUUUAUUAAAAACACAGCACUGUGCAAACACGAAAGUGGACGUAUACGGUGUGACGCCUGCCCGGUGCCGGAAGGUUAAUUGAUGGGGUUAGCGGUAACGCGAAGCUCUUGAUCGAAGCCCCGGUAAACGGCGGCCGUAACUAUAACGGUCCUAAGGUAGCGAAAUUCCUUGUCGGGUAAGUUCCGACCUGCACGAAUGGCGUAAUGAUGGCCAGGCUGUCUCCACCCGAGACUCAGUGAAAUUGAACUCGCUGUGAAGAUGCAGUGUACCCGCGGCAAGACGGAAAGACCCCGUGAACCUUUACUAUAGCUUGACACUGAACAUUGAGCCUUGAUGUGUAGGAUAGGUGGGAGGCUUUGAAGUGUGGACGCCAGUCUGCAUGGAGCCGACCUUGAAAUACCACCCUUUAAUGUUUGAUGUUCUAACGUUGACCCGUGAUCCGGGUUGCGGACAGUGUCUGGUGGGUAGUUUGACUGGGGCGGUCUCCUCCUAAAGAGUAACGGAGGAGCACGAAGGUUGGCUAAUCCUGGUCGGACAUCAGGAGGUUAGUGCAAUGGCAUAAGCCAGCUUGACUGCGAGCGUGACGGCGCGAGCAGGUGCGAAAGCAGGUCAUAGUGAUCCGGUGGUUCUGAAUGGAAGGGCCAUCGCUCAACGGAUAAAAGGUACUCCGGGGAUAACAGGCUGAUACCGCCCAAGAGUUCAUAUCGACGGCGGUGUUUGGCACCUCGAUGUCGGCUCAUCACAUCCUGGGGCUGAAGUAGGUCCCAAGGGUAUGGCUGUUCGCCAUUUAAAGUGGUACGCGAGCUGGGUUUAGAACGUCGUGAGACAGUUCGGUCCCUAUCUGCCGUGGGCGCUGGAGAACUGAGGGGGGCUGCUCCUAGUACGAGAGGACCGGAGUGGACGCAUCACUGGUGUUCGGGUUGUCAUGCCAAUGGCACUGCCCGGUAGCUAAAUGCGGAAGAGAUAAGUGCUGAAAGCAUCUAAGCACGAAACUUGCCCCGAGAUGAGUUCUCCCUGACUCCUUGAGAGUCCUGAAGGAACGUUGAAGACGACGACGUUGAUAGGCCGGGUGUGUAAGCGCAGCGAUGCGUUGAGCUAACCGGUACUAAUGAACCGUGAGGCUUAACCUU
rnacentral:rRNA from 1 species